rnacentral:rRNA from 1 species
GACGAACGCUGGCGGCGUGCCUAAUACAUGCAAGUAGAACGCUGAAGCUUGGUGCUUGCACCGAGCGGAUGAGUUGCGAACGGGUGAGUAACGCGUAGGUAACCUGCCUGGUAGCGGGGGAUAACUAUUGGAAACGAUAGCUAAUACCGCAUAAGAGUAGAUGUUGCAUGACAUUUGCUUAAAAGGUGCAAUUGCAUCACUACCAGAUGGACCUGCGUUGUAUUAGCUAGUUGGUGAGGUAACGGCUCACCAAGGCAACGAUACAUAGCCGACCUGAGAGGGUGCUCGGCCACACUGGGACUGAGACACGGCCCAGACUCCUACGGGAGGCAGCAGUAGGGAAUCUUCGGCAAUGGACGGAAGUCUGACCGAGCAACGCCGCGUGAGUGAAGAAGGUUUUCGGAUCGUAAAGCUCUGUUGUAAGAGAAGAACGAGUGUGAGAGUGGAAAGUUCACACUGUGACGGUAUCUUACCAGAAAGGGACGGCUAACUACGUG